UCUUCCCCUCUUUUUCUUCUCUUUGUUCACUGAUUCUUCUUUUUCUCCCCUUUUUCUUUUUCCCUAAUUUCCCCCUUUUUCCUAUUUUUUCUCUUCUAUUUCCCCAUUUUUUUCCCUUAUUUCCCCUUUCCCCCUCUUUUUCUUCUCUUUGUUCACUGAUUCUUCUUUUUCUCCCCUUUUUCUCUUUCUCUAAUUUCCCCCUUUUUCCUAUUUUUUCUCUUCUAUUUCCCCAUUUUUUUCCCUUAUUUCCCCUUUCCCCCUCUUUUUCUUCCCUUUCUCCCCUUUUUUUCCCCCAUUCCUGUUCUUUUUCCUCCUCUUUUCCCCCCUUUCUCCCAGUUUCCCAUUCCCUCCAUCUUUUCUUCCCUUCUCUUUUUCUCUUUUGCUUGCCCUGUCUCUUUUCCCUUUCUUUUUUUCUGUUUCUUUCAUUCUUUUCCUUUCUUACCAUUCCCUUCCCUUUUCCAUUCCUUUUCCCUUUUUUCCCCAUUUCCUUUCCCACUCUCUUCCCUUUUCCCUCAUUCCCCUUUCCCAUUCCCUUUCCCCUUUUCCCUUUGCCUUUUCCCCAUUUUCUUCCCUUUUUCUGUUUUCCCUUUCUCUUCCUGGAGCUGGAAUUCCCCACCCAGGGGUACUUCAGAGCCAGAUUCCAUCUGGAAUAUCCCAAUCCCAAUUCCAAAUAUUCCGUGUCCCCAGAGCCGGGGCAGCAACCUCACCCUUCCUUUUCCCCCUUCCCUUUUCCCUGCUCUCCCUGGGGCUGUCCCAGCUCACAUUCCCUCUGCAGUAUCCCAUCCCAACCCCAACCAUUCCGUGUCCCCGCAGCGAGGGCAGCAACCUGACCCCCGCCCACCACUACAACGAUUUCCGCUUCAAGACCUACGCGCCCGUGGCCUUCCGCUACUUCCGGGAGCUCUUCGGGAUCCGCCCCGACGACUACCUGGUGAGUCUGGGAGCAGCUGCCACUGCCUGACAUCCCUUUGCCUUGCUUUGCUUUCCUCCUCUUUCUCCUUUUCCCCCUUUUUCUUUCCCUCUUCCCUCUUCCUGUUUCUCUUUUCCAUUUUCCCUGUUCCGUUUUUCCCCUUUCCAUUUUCCUUUUUUCCCAUUUCCCCUUCUUCUCUUUCCCCAUCUCCCUUUUCCAGUUUUCCUUUUUUUUCCAUUUUUCCCUUUUCCUCCUUUCCCUUUUCUCUUUUCCCUUUCCCUUCCCUUUCCCUUUCCUUUUCUCCCUUUCCUCUUUUCUUUUUCCAUUUCCUCCUUUCUUGUUUUCCCUUUUCCCUAUCACUUGCCCUUCUCCCUUAUCCUUUUGUUUUCCCUUUCCCUUUGCUCCCCUUUUUCAGUUUUUCCUUCUUUUUUUUCCCUCACUUCCCCCUUUUUUCCCUCUUUUUCCCCUUUCCCCUCUCUCCCCUUCUCCCUCCUUUCCCACAUUUCAAGACACCUCUCCCCCUUUCCCAUCCCCACAUUUUGCCCUCCCCUUCAUCCACCCACCAACACCCACCUGCCUUCCCCCCUCCAAACCCCCAUUCCCAAUGGAAUUCCAGCAGUUUUCCCCCUUUUCCCCCCAGUACUCCCAAUGGAAUUCCAGCAAUUUUCCCCCCAGUACUCCCAAUGGAAUUCCAGCAAUUUUCCCCCCAGUACUCCCAAUGGAAUUCCAGCAAUUUUCCCCCCAGUACUCCCCCCCCCAGUACUCCCAAUGG
rnacentral:lncRNA from 12 species